rnacentral:lncRNA from 1 species
AAAUCAUAAAAAUAUGUAAAAACCCUCGCUUGGUCUCCUUUAACAUCUUGGCAAGCAACACAAACGCCUCGUAUAGGCUUCCACACAACUGACAGCAAUCAACGCUUCCUCCGCAUUCAUAAAAAACAUGUAUUAAUGCAUCCACAUUGCUCUAAAAUUUUAUCAUACUUUCGACAAAACUAUAUUUGACAAAUGGGAAUCAACUUGAUCGUAUUACACAAUCAGCUAGCAAUUGAGAACAUUCAUAUUCGUCUCAUCGUCGGUCGGUAUCGUUGAUCGGAGCUCUCCCGCGUCCCUCCCCGCGUGGCCUGCCCGGGAGCCAAUCCUAGCUGCUGGUGAACCUCCACAACCCGCCAACCCUCCUCUCCCUGCCACUGUCGGAGGGCGGCGGCGGCACUAUUUUACAACUCCAUCUAUUAUCUAUAUUCAAAGGUGACCCUACGUGAAUAUGAGAGAACAAAUUGAGUUCUGGUUACCUUGCCAUUUCAACUGCAAGUGUCUUGCAGUACACAAUAAGAAAGUAUGCUCAUUUUCUUGAAAUUUAAAUCUUUUGCAGAAUUUUUUACCUCUCAUCAAUCCAUCAUUGAACACAUAUAUCCACUACUGCCCAUAACUGGUUGGAUAACCUGAUAACUGCGUAGAGUAAAGAGUACUUGCCCGCAAUGUAUGUUUGUUCCAAGACACAAAUGCAAAAUUCAGAGAUAUCAUGCUAUGGUCUAGGGAUGACUCUGGUUCCUGAACUGAAGAAGAACAAAACAAUAAGCCGAACAACAAACCUUACCUGGAUCACCUUGCUGCCAUCUUCCAUAGUAAAAAGAAUAGGAAAUUGCUAACUUAAAUCGCACUUAUUAGAGAACAACCUGAAAGAACAAUAAGUGCCUUAUAAAAAUAAAUCUGUGGAGAGCUCCACUUGCAAUGAAACCACUGCGUUCUUUAUGCAUUUUAUAAUUUAUCAGUGCAAUUUAGCAACUGGGCCUCAUAAAUAAAGUUGUAAAAAGCAGUGGCUGGCCUUUCAUCAAACAUCUUCUAUAGUCUUUGUCAUGGCCGCCACACCUCAGGGCCGGCAUAUCCCCUCUGACGGAGAGAGUAAGAGAGAGACUUAGAGAGAGGGGGAGAGAGUGUGGACUGGAUUGGGGACUCACCAACGGGCGGAGCUCCAGGACCAGAACAAAAGGGAAGCCAUCCCCGAUGACCUCCUUCUCCCGAGACGGUGCACACACACGCGCACGCCUCCUGUUCAGUGCCGACGAGGAGGCCCCCU